rnacentral:rRNA from 1 species
UACGUAGGGUGCGAGCGUUAAUCGGAAUUACUGGGCGUAAAGCGUGCGCAGGCGGUUUUGUAAGCCAGAUGUGAAAUCCCCGGGCUUAACCUGGGAAUGGCAUUUGGGACUGCAAGGCUUGAGUGCGGCAGAGGAGACUGGAAUUCCUGGUGUAGCAGUGAAAUGCGUAGAGAUGUGGAGGAACACCGAUGGCGAAGGCAGCCCCCUGGGAUAACACUGACGCUCAUGCACGAAAGCGUGGGGAGCAAACAGG